rnacentral:lncRNA from 1 species
AUGAGUGAAACAAUAUCAAAACCGGUUCCUACUAUUGUAUCACAUGUCCCGUUGGAACAGAAGUUUUUAAUCUCUCCCUCCUCUCCUGUUAAUUUAAUGGGACGAGAUAUGUUGUGUAAACUAAAUGCAGUAAUCUUUUGCACCCCGGAUGGUUUGUUUAUGCGAACACCCGAUGAUAAGUUGAUUCAGGCUUCCCAAUUGUUAACGCACACCGAAGUAACUACUGCUUACUUGUGGAGAUUGUUAGGAAAACCUAGUGUUGAAAUCUGCAGUAUCGAAAACAUUCAAAGUUUGUCUAAGACGUCCCCAUAUCUCGCCGUUGGUCUAACGCAGAUGUUGCCUUUUGAAACCUUUCAUUGUAAUGCUACAUUGUUUAACGACGUCGUACCAAUAGAAUAUCAACAGAAGACGUGCUUGUUUCUAAAUCACGCUGAUGCAUUUAAUCCUAUCAAACAACUAUACAUUGGUCCGGCCGGUUGUGCUGCAGUUGUGUCUCUCACAAAAAAACAAUUUUCUCUCCUUCACGACGAUACAGUACCACACAUCAUACUAGCUAUUUCACCAACACAUACACCCCAAGAAUUAGAAAACAUGAUUAAAACCCUACACAACACAGAACCCAUUAGUUCAUCAACGACCUCUACAGGUAUACUGCACACACUACAGUCUGACGGUUGGAGACUAGAUUUGAAAACCCCGUUGUUUGCGAAUUCGAGUUGUACAUUCGAAAAACACUCUCCAGCACCGUCUCCUGAUUACAGUCCACCCCAGAGUUUAUCCCAGGUACCAUCUAAACUAUGGGCCAUGCAUAAAAAUCAUGCAGGAUUUGUAACCUCUUCACCACCUCUUAAAGUUACAUUAAAGUCAGAUGCUACUUUGCCUUGUAUUCGACAGUAUCGUUUGUCCCCCGAAGCAUUAGAUGGGAUUCAGCCAGUAAUUACUUCUCUUUUAUCUCAAGGUAUUCUAAAGGAAACUACUAGUCCUUGUAACAUAGAUAGAUAG